CACUUUAACUGAAUUUAUACAACAUCUCAGUAGUGAAUAUUGGGAAUUAUUACUCAGUGGUGGUGAUAUGGACUCGAAGUUCAAUUCUUUUCUAAACAUCUUUUUAAGCAUAUUUUAAAAAAGUUUUCCUACUAAAACAGAGAAAAAUUUGUCUGAAACCAAUGUAUGGUUAACUAAAGGCAUCAAAACAUGCAAAUAUAAGUGAGCUCUUUACCUAAAUAACAGGUACAGUAAUAACCAACUACUGAAGCAACACUAUAGAAAAAAUUGGAAAAUUUUACCUCUAGUUAUUAGAGAAGCUAAAAGCAUGCAUUACAAUAAAUUGAUGGUAAUCUGAAAACAAGUAAAAAAUUGUAAAAAAAAGAUACUAGCAAACCAUCUAGAGACAUUGUAAGCCCACCAAUAAUGAUAAAUAAUAACAGUAAAUGAUCCUAAACUUAUAACUAACUAUUUUAAUACCUACUUUUUAACGAUUGUAGAAAGAAUGAACAGCAGUGACACCAAUACCCCAAAAACCGAAGAUGCAAUGAAGUUCUUGGCUAAGGCAAUUCCUAAUUGAUUUCCGAACAUUAAUCUUAUUACUACCACACACACCAAAUGAAAUUAAAAGUAUAAUAACUUCUGUCAAGUCAAAAAAUUCAUGUGGUUAUGAUGGAAUUUCAUCUAAAGUACUUAAACUUAAUUAUAUAAGUAUUCCAUUAAGUUAUCUUUGUAAUCAUUCAAUGGCUAUAGGAAUGUUUCCUGAAAGACUUACAUAUUCAAAAGUAAAACCCCUAUAUAAAAAGGGUGAAAAAUCCUGCAUCUCUAACUACAGACCUAUUUAACUGCUGUCAACAUUUUCUAAAAUUUUUGAGAAAGUUAUGUGCAAGAGAGUAAAUAAUUUCUUAAACUUAAACAACAUCCAUGUAAAGGAACAAUUUGGAUUUAGAAAAAAUCUCUCAACAGAAAAGGCUCUAUCUAGUUUACAGCAGCUUGUAAAUUUCUAUAAUAUAAUUAAACAGUGUUUACACAUUAGCCUAUAUAUGGAAAUAUUUAAACACAUUACCAUUGAGUCCUACGGUCAGGAACUCGGCAGGUCGCCAAGGAGAAAGCCAUUUGAGGUGCAGGCGCCUCCUUGAUUGUAAUAUACAUUGUGCUUGAAAGGUACAUUCGGACAUGCCUGUAAUUAUGAUGCCUGUUACAGGGCCUCGUCGUUUCCCCGUAGAAGAUUUCGGGUACAUUAGAGGACAAUGCCGUCACCUUAAUUAUCUUUCAUUUGAAUUGAGCGCGCUCUGUUCGCACUGACAUCUCUGGUGACGCCAUACAAACAGUCUAGAACUGUUAUGGCUGGUUGAGUUGUUGUAGUAUGUUUGUGGUGAAGGAAAAUCUCAUUGUAGGCAUGUCUAGUCUAAGUUUUGAAGUUAACAGAUUGCUUGGCCUGACUUCUGAGCCAUCUAGCAGUGACUGUUACAGAAGCAAGAUGAUUGCAGCUCAACACGAGUUCACUAAAUGCAGGAAAGUUGAAGAUGUUACAGUUUUAACUUUUAUCUGUGUACAAACUUUUACAAUUAUGAACAGCCAAUAUCUGACCAAAACUCAUAAACUCAGCCAAGUCAUCAUUGGUGUUACAUACGAUUCUUGUAUCAAGAUUAUCGGAGAUCUUUUUUAUUUUUGAAGAAAUCAUAACAAAUGGCUGAAGAAAAUGAUAAAAUGCACAGAUUUUGUUAUCCCUAAACUGAGACCAUCAAAAAUGUUUUUUCCAUCUGUAUUGAUCUUUUUGUGAUGGCAGACUGCGUUCUUGAAUGUCUUCACAGAACAGUGGCCUGGCAAAAGCGAAGUGUUACCAAUGCAUUGUUCAGCUUCAUGGAUGCUUUCAAGGACAUAAUCACUAAGACCAAGGAGACUGGAAUAUACAUUAAGCUGGAUGUUUGAGAAACAGAACUGAACUGGCUCUGUGCUGCUUCCAGUGGCAAUCUUGAGUUCUAGCAGUCCUCAAUGUUCUGCUUCCAGUACCACAGCAAGUGAGUGGCAUCUCUUUCUGAAGUCCUGUCACACAUAAAAUGUUUUGUCAGCAGGAUAAACUAACAUACUCCAUCUGCAGUACACCGCAGUACUUGGCCCCUGAGGCAAUGAGGGGAUAGGGCACAGCAUGGUGAGGGUGGUUAGUGAAGGAGCCUUCCUAAUAGGAGGGAUGUGGACUAUUUGCUGUCCUGGGCAGUAGUCUAGAGGGAUACUCUGGGGCAGGUCCUCUUGCUUACAUUGUAGCCUGCUCUGGCUGGAAGAUGCUAGGCUGGAGCAGCAAUUUUUCACUGAUGUUUGAUGGAAAAACACCUCACUGGUACCACUAUAUGUGCUUCUUUGGACGUCAGCGGCCAAAAUCAGUAGGUGAUAUUUCUCAUUUUGAAUCCCAAAGAUGGGAGGAUCAGGAGAAGAUAAAAAAAAAUAGGUAGGUAGGAAAUUAUUGCUGUAUCAACUAUUUAUCUCAACUUGUUAUAAAUAUUAUGAUGUCAUAAGUUUUUGGUCUUUGCGUAUGAUGUGUGUGUGAGAGAGUUAGUAACGGUGAAAAAGUAUUAUGUUAUUUAUUAUAUGCAGCUGAAUAAUGUUUUGAUGACUGAAUCUUGGUUCUAGCAAGUUCACCAUGUUCAGCACAGCUGGGUGCUGGAUAUUCUGACCUCACUGUGAAGGUGAUUAGGAAUGCCUGCAACUUUGUCACUGUUUCCUGAUUUGGUGGUGUGGCCCAUGGGCUACAGUAAACAUAUAAAUGUUCAUAUUGUAUUGGUUUUUAGUGGAAUUAAAUAUGUUGAAAUUAAAAAUUA